rnacentral:tRNA from 1 species
CGCGGGGUAGAGCAGCGGUAGCUCGUCAGGCUCAUAACCUGAAGGUCGCAGGUUCAAUUCCUGCCCCCGCAACCA